rnacentral:rRNA from 1 species
ACACUCCUGCGGGAGGCAGCAGUGGGGAAUAUUGGACAAUGGGCGCAAACCUGAUCCAGCCAUGCCGCGUGAGUGAUGAAGGCCCUAGGGUUGUAAAGCUCUUUCACCGGUGAAGAUAAUGACGGUAACCGGAGAAGAAGCCCCGGCUAACUUCGUGCCAGCAGCCGCGGUAAUACGAAGGGGGCUAGCGUUGUUCGGAUUUACUGGGCGUAAAGCGCACGUAGGCGGACUAUUAAGUCAGGGGUGAAAUCCCGGGGCUCAACCCCGGAACUGCCUUUGAUACUGGUAGUCUUGAGUUCGAGAGAGGUGAGUGGAAUUCCGAGUGUAGAGGUGAAAUUCGUAGAUAUUCGGAGGAACACCAGUGGCGAAGGCGGCUCACUGGCUCGAUACUGACGCUGAGGUGCGAAAGCGUGGGGAGCAAACAGGAUUAGAUACCCGUGUAGUCCCAUGA